CAAUCCCACCUCAUUGUCAUAAUAUGUUGAAAUUGUUUUUUUUAAAGAAUAAUUGUACAUAGUAAUAUUAACUUAUUUUAUAUAGUUAUGUUGUACAAUGAAAAGUACCUAUAUAUCAGCCAAGAAUUCAGUUAAAUGUUGAGUAUUGCAUACUCUUUUGCUCUGUUCUUUACCAACUUGAAUUGUGAGUUUGUUGUAGUGGGGUCUUAUAUAAUGUUUAAUACAUAGGAUAUUGUUCCUUUACAAAGUAAAUAAAAUCAAAAUAUUUUACUCUGUG
rnacentral:misc_RNA from 1 species